CAUGGCAACAGAAAUCAAGAGCUGAGGUCAACGUGAUCUUGUUUAUUGUAGCAACCUGUGAAUCCAGGGCAAUCCAGACAAGACCAGACUGUUUGAUUCAAAACAACCUCCCAUUUCCUAUGCGGGCUGGAUAAUAAAGUGGUUCCAGAGCUACCACAUAUAAAAGCACAAAAAGCCCCUUUAACACUAGAACUACAGCUUUAAAAAAAAUCAGUUGAUUAUUUAAUAGAUUUUAUAUUACUGAUGACCAUAGCAAUGCUCUAUCCCAAAUCCAAUGGCUUCAAAAGAGAAUUAGUACUUCUCACUCAUGUGUUUGGUUUGGCCAGGAGUCAGAGGAUCAAAGUUGGGCUCAGCUGGACUCUGUUGGUCCAGGUCGCCUGCCCAUGACUCCUCCUCUUUGGUCCUGUGCCUCCUCAGGGCACAAGAGGCCAAUCCAACCCAGGCAAGCAUACUGCCAACCUCUGCCACCACAGUUUUUGAAGGCUACUUCACUGGCCUCUUUGGGUGAAAAUAAAGAGACGAAUCCAUGCAAAGUAAUCAUCCAACAGCAACUGCCCCAGGCAGAAAGAAAGACGUCUGGAGCUGGGCUAGCCAAGCAAGAAGAGGGCCAGAGAAGUUCUGCGUGUGAGAAGUACAGCCCACGCUGGAGGUGUGGUGUGGUUACCUGGUCAGUCCCAGCCUUGGCCAGCAUCCUGCAGAGGGUUUAAUCUGCAGCCUUCCGGUCCAUCAUCAG
rnacentral:lncRNA from 1 species